rnacentral:rRNA from 1 species
GUUGAAGAAUGAGCCGGCGAGUUACCGUACGUAGUUGGUUAAGCAGUUAACAUGCGAAGCCAAAGGGAAACCGAGUCUUGAUUAAGGGCGUUGAUAAUUACGUGUGGUAGACCCGAACCCUGAUGAUCUAGGCAUGGCCAGGAUGAAGCGCGUGUAACAAUGCGUAGAGGUCCGAACCAACCGAUGUUGAAAAAUCGGUGGAUGAGCUGUGUUUAGGGGUGAAAUGCCAAUCGAAUCAGGAGCUAGCUGGUUCUCCCCGAAAGGCGUUGAGGCACCGCGUCAGAUUUAUCCUACAGGGGGUAGAGCACUAGUUCGGUGCGGGCGGAGAAAAUCCGUACCAAAUCGAGUUAAACUCCGAAUACCUGUAGCGUCAUUAUCUGGCAGUGAGAGUGCGAGAGAUAAGUUCCGUACUCAAGAGGGAAACAGCCCAGACUACCGACUAAGGUCCCAAAAUUCAUGCUAAGUGAUUAAGGAG